rfam:Cricetulus griseus cell line CHO-K1, whole genome shotgun sequence.
UGGAUGUAGUUCAGUGGUAGAGCACUUGCCUUGCAAGUAGCAAGGUCCUAGGUUCAAUCCCCAGCAUUACAG